rnacentral:tRNA from 1 species
GCCCAGAUAGCUCAGUUGGUAGAGCAGGGGACUGAAAAUCCCCGUGUCGGUGGUUCGAUUCCACCUUUGGGCACCA